CAUAGGUUAAUGAGGCGAACCGGGGGAACUGAAACAUCUAAGUACCCCGAGGAAAAGAAAUCAACCGAGAUUCCCCCAGUAGCGGCGAGCGAACGGGGAGCAGCCCAGAGCCUGAAUCAGUGUGUGUGUUAGUGGAAGCGUCUGGAAAGGCGCGCGAUACAGGGUGACAGCCCCGUACACAAAAAUGCACAUGCUGUGAGCUCGAUGAGUAGGGCGGGACACGUGGUAUCCUGUCUGAAUAUGGGGGGACCAUCCUCCAAGGCUAAAUACUCCUGACUGACCGAUAGUGAACCAGUACCGUGAGGGAAAGGCGAAAAGAACCCCGGCGAGGGGAGUGAAAAAGAACCUGAAACCGUGUACGUACAAGCAGUGGGAGCACGCUUAGGCGUGUGACUGCGUACCUUUUGUAUAAUGGGUCAGCGACUUAUAUUCUGUAGCAAGGUUAACCGAAUAGGGGAGCCGAAGGGAAACCGAGUCUUAACUGGGCGUUAAGUUGCAGGGUAUAGACCCGAAACCCGGUGAUCUAGCCAUGGGCAGGUUGAAGGUUGGGUAACACUAACUGGAGGACCGAACCGACUAAUGUUGAAAAAUUAGCGGAUGACUUGUGGCUGGGGGUGAAAGGCCAAUCAAACCGGGAGAUAGCUGGUUCUCCCCGAAAGCUAUUUAGGUAGCGCCUCGUGAAUUCAUCUCCGGGGGUAGAGCACUGUUUCGGCAAGGGGGUCAUCCCGACUUACCAACCCGAUGCAAACUGCGAAUACCGGAGAAUGUUAUCACGGGAGACACACGGCGGGUGCUAACGUCCGUCGUGAAGAGGGAAACAACCCAGACCGCCAGCUAAGGUCCCAAAGUCAUGGUUAAGUGGGAAACGAUGUGGGAAGGCCCAGACAGCCAGGAUGUUGGCUUAGAAGCAGCCAUCAUUUAAAGAAAGCGUAAUAGCUCACUGGUCGAGUCGGCCUGCGCGGAAGAUGUAACGGGGCUAAACCAUGCACCGAAGCUGCGGCAGCGACGCUUAUGCGUUGUUGGGUAGGGGAGCGUUCUGUAAGCCUGCGAAGGUGUGCUGUGAGGCAUGCUGGAGGUAUCAGAAGUGCGAAUGCUGACAUAAGUAACGAUAAAGCGGGUGAAAAGCCCGCUCGCCGGAAGACCAAGGGUUCCUGUCCAACGUUAAUCGGGGCAGGGUGAGUCGACCCCUAAGGCGAGGCCGAAAGGCGUAGUCGAUGGGAAACAGGUUAAUAUUCCUGUACUUGGUGUUACUGCGAAGGGGGGACGGAGAAGGCUAUGUUGGCCGGGCGACGGUUGUCCCGGUUUAAGCGUGUAGGCUGGUUUUCCAGGCAAAUCCGGAAAAUCAAGGCUGAGGCGUGAUGACGAGGCACUACGGUGCUGAAGCAACAAAUGCCCUGCUUCCAGGAAAAGCCUCUAAGCAUCAGGUAACAUCAAAUCGUACCCCAAACCGACACAGGUGGUCAGGUAGAGAAUACCAAGGCGCUUGAGAGAACUCGGGUGAAGGAACUAGGCAAAAUGGUGCCGUAACUUCGGGAGAAGGCACGCUGAUAUGUAGGUGAAGUCCCUCGCGGAUGGAGCUGAAAUCAGUCGAAGAUACCAGCUGGCUGCAACUGUUUAUUAAAAACACAGCACUGUGCAAACACGAAAGUGGACGUAUACGGUGUGACGCCUGCCCGGUGCCGGAAGGUUAAUUGAUGGGGUUAGCGCAAGCGAAGCUCUUGAUCGAAGCCCCGGUAAACGGCGGCCGUAACUAUAACGGUCCUAAGGUAGCGAAAUUCCUUGUCGGGUAAGUUCCGACCUGCACGAAUGGCGUAAUGAUGGCCAGGCUGUCUCCACCCGAGACUCAGUGAAAUUGAACUCGCUGUGAAGAUGCAGUGUACCCGCGGCAAGACGGAAAGACCCCGUGAACCUUUACUAUAGCUUGACACUGAACAUUGAGCCUUGAUGUGUAGGAUAGGUGGGAGGCUUUGAAGUGUGGACGCCAGUCUGCAUGGAGCCGACCUUGAAAUACCACCCUUUAAUGUUUGAUGUUCUAACGUUGACCCGUGAUCCGGGUUGCGGACAGUGUCUGGUGGGUAGUUUGACUGGGGCGGUCUCCUCCUAAAGAGUAACGGAGGAGCACGAAGGUUGGCUAAUCCUGGUCGGACAUCAGGAGGUUAGUGCAAUGGCAUAAGCCAGCUUGACUGCGAGCGUGACGGCGCGAGCAGGUGCGAAAGCAGGUCAUAGUGAUCCGGUGGUUCUGAAUGGAAGGGCCAUCGCUCAACGGAUAAAAGGUACUCCGGGGAUAACAGGCUGAUACCGCCCAAGAGUUCAUAUCGACGGCGGUGUUUGGCACCUCGAUGUCGGCUCAUCACAUCCUGGGGCUGAAGUAGGUCCCAAGGGUAUGGCUGUUCGCCAUUUAAAGUGGUACGCGAGCUGGGUUUAGAACGUCGUGAGACAGUUCGGUCCCUA
rnacentral:rRNA from 1 species